AGCUUUGUGCAGUUGCAGUAUCAUAGCCUAUGAAACUGCCUAUUGAGGCAUGAUUAUUGAUACUUGAAAACUUUAGCCAACAACCCAUCAAGUCUGUAUUUAUACAGACAUGGCCAUUUUAAUAAUUAUUUAUUUAUU